GUUUAAUUGGAGCUAUUUUCGAUUCGAAACGAGAUAGGUUUAUCUGAUUCGGUGUUUUAUUAUGAAGCAGAUGCAAAGGAAAACAAUGCGCUCUAAAACAUUCAGUCACAGAAUCAAUUAAAGGCAUAUACAUGAUGAUGAUCAUUGUUUAUAGCUUUCGUCCUAAAAACCAAACAGGUGAGGUACUAGAAAGGUCAUUCCACUUGGAACAUUCCUAUUGGCAACCAUUGGGAAGUUUAACAAAACGGUGCUGAAACUUCAAUCAAACAACACAA